rnacentral:rRNA from 1 species
UGCGCAGGCGGUUGAGUAAGACAGAUGUGAAAUCCCCGAGCUUAACUCGGGAAUGGCAUAUGUGACUGCUCGACUAGAGUGUGUCAGAGGGAGGUGGAAUUCCACGUGUAGCAGUGAAAUGCGUAGAUGUGUGGAAGAACACCGAUGGCGAAGGCAGCCUCCUGGGACAUAACUGACGCUCAGGCACGAAAGCGUGGGGAGCAAACA